CCUACGGGAGGCUGCAGUGAGGAAUAUUGGUCAAUGGACGAGAGUCUGAACCAGCCAAGUAGCGUGAAGGAUGACUGCCCUAUGGGUUGUAAACUUCUUUUAUAUGGGAAUAAAAUGUUCCACGUGUGGGAUUUUGUAUGUACCAUAUGAAUAAGGAUCGGCUAACUCCGUGCCAGCAGCCGCGAUAAUACGGAGGAUCCGAGCGUUAUCCGGAUUUAUUGGGUUUAAAGGGAGCGUAGGUGGAUUGUUAAGUCAGUUGUGAAAGUUUGCGGCUCAACCGUAAAAUUGCAGUUGAAACUGGCAGUCUUGAGUACAGUAGAGGUGGGCGGAAUUCGUGGUGUAGCGGUGAAAUGCUUAGAUAUCACGAAGAACUCCGAUUGCGAAGGCAGUUCACUGGACUGCAACUGACACUGAGGCUCGAAAGUGUGGGUAUCAAACAGGAUUAGAUACCCGAGUAGUC
rnacentral:rRNA from 1 species